CAUAAAAGGUAGUGAAAGUGCUCUGAACUCCAGUCUGAUUUCCGAGAGAUACAGAAAAGAGAUAGUGAGAGAGAGAGCAAGAGAAAAAUUGUGCCGUAGCGUAGAGGCACUAGAAACCAACUUAAAAAAAGGGUCCAUGUUCAGUCUGACCUCGAAGAUGUGUUGGAAAAAAAUCCCUUUGUGCUUUCUUUCUUGCUGAAAGAGAUGAACAAGUGAUGGGAAAGGGCAGGCACCACACAGGCUAAUAUGAUCUCCUGCAUUUAAUGGAAACACAUCCCUAUUGUGAG